GAAACAUCUUCGGGUUGUGAGGUUAAGCGACUAAGCGUACACGGUGGAUGCCCUGGCAGUCAGAGGCGAUGAAGGACGUGCUAAUCUGCGAUAAGCGUCGGUGAGGUGAUAUGAACCGUUAUAACCGGCGAUUUCCGAAUGGGGAAACCCAGUGUGUUUCGACACACUAUCAUUAACUGAAUCCAUAGGUUAAUGAGGCGAACCGGGGGAACUGAAACAUCUAAGUACCCCGAGGAAAAGAAAUCAACCGAGAUUCCCCCAGUAGCGGCGAGCGAACGGGGAGGAGCCCAGAGCCUGAAUCAGUGUGUGUGUUAGUGGAAGCGUCUGGAAAGGCGCGCGAUACAGGGUGACAGCCCCGUACACAAAAAUGCACAUAUUGUGAGCUCGAUGAGUAGGGCGGGACACGUGGUAUCCUGUCUGAAUAUGGGGGGACCAUCCUCCAAGGCUAAAUACUCCUGACUGACCGAUAGUGAACCAGUACCGUGAGGGAAAGGCGAAAAGAACCCCGGCGAGGGGAGUGAAAAAGAACCUGAAACCGUGUACGUACAAGCAGUGGGAGCCUCUUAAUGGGGUGACUGCGUACCUUUUGUAUAAUGGGUCAGCGACUUAUAUUCUGUAGCAAGGUUAACCGAAUAGGGGAGCCGAAGGGAAACCGAGUCUUAACUGGGCGUUAAGUUGCAGGGUAUAGACCCGAAACCCGGUGAUCUAGCCAUGGGCAGGUUGAAGGUUGGGUAACACUAACUGGAGGACCGAACCGACUAAUGUUGAAAAAUUAGCGGAUGACUUGUGGCUGGGGGUGAAAGGCCAAUCAAACCGGGAGAUAGCUGGUUCUCCCCGAAAGCUAUUUAGGUAGCGCCUCGUGAAUUCAUCUCCGGGGGUAGAGCACUGUUUCGGCAAGGGGGUCAUCCCGACUUACCAACCCGAUGCAAACUGCGAAUACCGGAGAAUGUUAUCACGGGAGACACACGGCGGGUGCUAACGUCCGUCGUGAAGAGGGAAACAACCCAGACCGCCAGCUAAGGUCCCAAAGUCAUGGUUAAGUGGGAAACGAUGUGGGAAGGCCCAGACAGCCAGGAUGUUGGCUUAGAAGCAGCCAUCAUUUAAAGAAAGCGUAAUAGCUCACUGGUCGAGUCGGCCUGCGCGGAAGAUGUAACGGGGCUAAACCAUGCACCGAAGCUGCGGCAGCGACGCUUAUGCGUUGUUGGGUAGGGGAGCGUUCUGUAAGCCUGUGAAGGUGGCCUGUGAGGGUUGCUGGAGGUAUCAGAAGUGCGAAUGCUGACAUAAGUAACGAUAAAGCGGGUGAAAAGCCCGCUCGCCGGAAGACCAAGGGUUCCUGUCCAACGUUAAUCGGGGCAGGGUGAGUCGACCCCUAAGGCGAGGCCGAAAGGCGUAGUCGAUGGGAAACAGGUUAAUAUUCCUGUACUUGGUGUUACUGCGAAGGGGGGACGGAGAAGGCUAUGUUGGCCGGGCGACGGUUGUCCCGGUUUAAGCGUGUAGGCUGGUUUUCCAGGCAAAUCCGGAAAAUCAAGGCUGAGGCGUGAUGACGAGGCACUACGGUGCUGAAGCGACAAAUGCCCUGCUUCCAGGAAAAGCCUCUAAGCAUCAGGUAACAUCAAAUCGUACCCCAAACCGACACAGGUGGUCAGGUAGAGAAUACCAAGGCGCUUGGGAGAACUCGGGUGAAGGAACUAGGCAAAAUGGUGCCGUAACUUCGGGAGAAGGCACGCUGAUAUGUAGGUGAAGCGACUUGCUCGUGGAGCUGAAAUCAGUCGAAGAUACCAGCUGGCUGCAACUGUUUAUUAAAAACACAGCACUGUGCAAACACGAAAGUGGACGUAUACGGUGUGACGCCUGCCCGGUGCCGGAAGGUUAAUUGAUGGGGUUAGCGGUAACGCGAAGCUCUUGAUCGAAGCCCCGGUAAACGGCGGCCGUAACUAUAACGGUCCUAAGGUAGCGAAAUUCCUUGUCGGGUAAGUUCCGACCUGCACGAAUGGCGUAAUGAUGGCCAGGCUGUCUCCACCCGAGACUCAGUGAAAUUGAACUCGCUGUGAAGAUGCAGUGUACCCGCGGCAAGACGGAAAGACCCCGUGAACCUUUACUAUAGCUUGACACUGAACAUUGAGCCUUGAUGUGUAGGAUAGGUGGGAGGCUUUGAAGUGUGGACGCCAGUCUGCAUGGAGCCGACCUUGAAAUACCACCCUUUAAUGUUUGAUGUUCUAACGUGGGCCCGUAAUCCGGGUUGCGGACAGUGUCUGGUGGGUAGUUUGACUGGGGCGGUCUCCUCCUAAAGAGUAACGGAGGAGCACGAAGGUUGGCUAAUCCUGGUCGGACAUCAGGAGGUUAGUGCAAUGGCAUAAGCCAGCUUGACUGCGAGCGUGACGGCGCGAGCAGGUGCGAAAGCAGGUCAUAGUGAUCCGGUGGUUCUGAAUGGAAGGGCCAUCGCUCAACGGAUAAAAGGUACUCCGGGGAUAACAGGCUGAUACCGCCCAAGAGUUCAUAUCGACGGCGGUGUUUGGCACCUCGAUGUCGGCUCAUCACAUCCUGGGGCUGAAGUAGGUCCCAAGGGUAUGGCUGUUCGCCAUUUAAAGUGGUACGCGAGCUGGGUUUAGAACGUCGUGAGACAGUUCGGUCCCUAUCUGCCGUGGGCGCUGGAGAACUGAGGGGGGCUGCUCCUAGUACGAGAGGACCGGAGUGGACGCAUCACUGGUGUUCGGGUUGUCAUGCCAAUGGCACUGCCCGGUAGCUAAAUGCGGAAGAGAUAAGUGCUGAAAGCAUCUAAGCACGAAACUUGCCCCGAGAUGAGUUCUCCCUGACCCUUUAAGGGUCCUGAAGGAACGUUGAAGACGACGACGUUGAUAGGCCGGGUGUGUAAGCGCAGCGAUGCGUUGAGCUAACCGGUACUAAUGAACCGUGAGGCUUAACCUU
rnacentral:rRNA from 1 species